GCGUGCUUACACAUGCAAGUCGAACGAUGAACCGCUUUCGGGCGGGGAUUAGUGGCGAACGGGUGAGUAACACGUGGGCAAUCUGCCCUGCACUCUGGGACAAGCCCUGGAAACGGGGUCUAAUACCGGAUAUGACCGUCUGCCGCAUGGUGGAUGGUGUAAAGCUCCGGCGGUGCAGGAUGAGCCCGCGGCCUAUCAGCUUGUUGGUGAGGUAGUGGCUCACCAAGGCGACGACGGGUAGCCGGCCUGAGAGGGCGACCGGCCACACUGGGACUGAGACACGGCCCAGACUCCUACGGGAGGCAGCAGUGGGGAAUAUUGCACAAUGGGCGAAAGCCUGAUGCAGCGACGCCGCGUGAGGGAUGACGGCCUUCGGGUUGUAAACCUCUUUCAGCAGGGAAGAAGCGAAAGUGACGGUACCUGCAGAAGAAGCGCCGGCUAACUACGUGCCAGCAGCCGCGGUAAUACGUAGGGCGCAAGCGUUGUCCGGAAUUAUUGGGCGUAAAGAGCUCGUAGGCGGCUUGUCACGUCGGUUGUGAAAGCCCGGGGCUUAACCCCGGGUCUGCAGUCGAUACGGGCAGGCUAGAGUUCGGUAGGGGAGAUCGGAAUUCCUGGUGUAGCGGUGAAAUGCGCAGAUAUCAGGAGGAACACCGGUGGCGAAGGCGGAUCUCUGGGCCGAUACUGACGCUGAGGAGCGAAAGCGUGGGGAGCGAACAGGAUUAGAUACCCUGGUAGUCCACGCCGUAAACGGUGGGCACUAGGUGUGGGCAACAUUCCACGUUGUCCGUGCCGCAGCUAACGCAUUAAGUGCCCCGCCUG
rnacentral:rRNA from 1 species